rnacentral:rRNA from 1 species
AACUUAAGUAGUUAUUUAUAAUUUAUUCUUCAGUAUAAAAAUUACAUCCUUGGAAAUCUAUAAGUUAAAGAGUUAAUAAAUUUUACCUUUGGUAUAAUGGUUAUACUAUAAUUAUGUAGCAUUACAUUUCCCGAAAUAAGAAGAGCUAUAUAUUAACUUAUUUUAGAAAAUCAAAAGUCAUGUUGAAAUAUGGCUAAAAGAUUAAUAUAUAGGAGCGAAAAACUUUCAAUUCUUAUGAUAUCUGGAAGUUCCAAAAAAGCAUUUAGUGCUGAAAAAUUAUAUAUAGAGUGAUGAAAUUCUAUAUAAAUAGAAUGUUAAUUUUUUUUAAUUUAUUUCUAAAGUUAAUCCUAAAGAGAUUUUUUUAUAAAACUAUAAAUUUUUUAACUUAUCUAAAUAAGAUGGAACUUUUUCAGGGAUCUACCUCCUGGAAUUAAUAAUGUGUAAAUGAGUAGUCCAAAAUUAUGGUUUUAUUAAAAAUAUAGAAAAUUUUAUAAAAAACCUAUAAAUAUAGCAAAUAGCUAAAAGGAACUCGGCAAAUAUAGACUUCGACUGUUUAACAAAAACAUAGCCUUAGGAAAUUUGAUCUAAGGUUAAACCUGCCCAAUGUUAGUUAUUUUAUCAAUGGCCGCGGUACUUUGACCGUGCUAAGGUAGCGCAAUCAAUUGGCUUUUAAUUGAAGCCACGUAUGAAUGGAAUCACGGGGUUUAGCUGUCUCUUAGCUAAUUUAUCGAAAUUACUAUUUAGGUGAAAAAGCCUAAAAAAAGAAAAAAGACGAGAAGACCCUUAGAGUUUUUCUAAUAUUAAAAUAUUUUUAGAACAGUUUAGUUGGGGCAACAUAGGAACAAUAUAAGACAACUUCCUGUAAAAUAUCCACCGAUGUUAAUAAAUUUGAAUAAACUACCUUAGGGAUAACAGCAUAAUUUUAACAAUAAGUUUGUGACCUCGAUGUUGGACUAGGAAACUAGAAGGCUAGCCGCCUUUUAGGAAAGUUCUGUUCGAACUAUUAUUCCU